rnacentral:rRNA from 1 species
GAGUUUGAUCGUGGCUCAGAUUGAACGCUGGCGGCAUGCCUUACACAUGCAAGUCGAACGGCAGCACGGGAGCUUGCUCCUGGUGGCGAGUGGCGAACGGGUGAGUAAUGCAUCGGAACGUAUCCUGGAGUGGGGGAUAACGUAGCGAAAGUUACGCUAAUACCGCAUAUUCUGUGAGCAGGAAAGCGGGGGACCUUCGGGCCUCGCGCUCUUGGAGCGGCCGAUGUCGGAUUAGCUAGUUGGUGAGGUAAAGGCUCACCAAGGCGACGAUCCGUAGCAGGUCUGAGAGGAUGAUCUGCCACACUGGAACUGAGACACGGUCCAGACUCCUACGGGAGCAGCAGUGGGAAUUUUGGACAAUGGGGGCAACCCUGAUCCAGCCAUGCCGCGUGAGUGAAGAA